rnacentral:lncRNA from 1 species
UAAACCGGACGGCGCACCUGAUGGAAUUGAAAACAUGCAGGUCUUUCAAAGGAAAUCAACCGGAUUUUGAAUCCUUAGUUUGAUUUGAGAGGCUCAGGCACUCAUACAAGGGGAAUCCAGUCCGUUCGUGACACUGCAUGGCGAUUGAGGAUAAGAGACAUUUGGAGGAGAACGCUGUCAAGUAAUAUUAACGUUUUUGUCUGAGAGUUUGGCCACUCCGCGGACCACACACGCAGCGAACGUGCGUGCUUUGAAACGUUGGGCUUGCGCAACGAAUUGCAUCCGGACAGGAGAUCUGGACUUUGUAAGCUCAGAGGAUACAGUUUGAGCAAUGGUCCAAAUAAGGGAAAUGCAGUUGAAACUUGAAAGACAAUGAACGUCCAAAACCACUGUAAAGUAAAGCAAAAUUUCUAUCAUGAAGCUGCAAUGCUAAGUAGACCGUGUUAGGCAAAAAGGAACCAAGCUACAUCAGCUUUUCCCUUUUUUUUUUUUUUUUUUUUUUUUUUUUUUUUGUGACCUUGUUUAACACAGAGGGAAAGUGCAUAAUAAAAGGUAUGCAACA